CUUUAGUCUUCUGAAACAGCUUC
rnacentral:siRNA from 1 species